rnacentral:rRNA from 1 species
AACUCGGCAAAGUAAAUAUUCGCCUGUUUAACAAAAACAUGUCUUUUUGAAUUUUUUUUUAAAGUCUGACCUGCCCACUGAAUUUUUUAAAUGGCCGCAGUAUACUAACUGUGCAAAGGUAGCAUAAUAAUUAGUUUUUUAAUUGAAGGCUGGUAUGAAUGGUUGGACGAGAUAUUAACUG